rnacentral:rRNA from 1 species
UACGUAGGGGGCAAGCGUUGUCCGGAUUUAUUGGGCGUAAAGAGCUCGUAGGCGGUUCCGUAAGUCGUGAAGUCAAAUCUCUGGGCUCAACCCAGAAUCGCUUCCGAUACUGCGGUGACUGGAGUCCGGUAGGGGAGUGUGGAAUUCCUGGUGUAGCGGUGAAAUGCGCAGAUAUCAGGAGGAACACCAACAGCGAAGGCAGCACUCUGGGCCGGUACUGACGCUGAGGAGCGAAAGCAUGGGGGGCGAACAGG